UCAGCUCCUUCCUCUGUCUUCCGGCCGUCUCCCGGUGCAAAACCGGUGUCAAAAGCUUCCUCUCGUCGUCCCCAACAGGACUGUGAUGUUGUUCCUCCAUGGGAAGCUUUGGUGAGAGAGAAAAGAAGGAGGGAAGGUGGCUGUUUUUCCGAUCGGGUUUCCGAUUCCGACCACGACGGCAAGCGUGAAUGGUACUGGUAGCUUCGUCUUGCCAUCCUCGCUCUAUAUGUGGUCUCGAAAUCUUCAGAGGAGCCUUCAUGAGUGAGAAUCGAUUAAUUGAAGCUCAAGAAGUUUCCCGGUGAGAGUUUGAUGUUUUCCGGUUACCGGCGAAGGCAAGUGAGGUAUCAAUCUUGAUCUUCUCGUCGAGCUCUACCUCUUUGUAUAAUUAAAUUCAAGUUUGGUUGAGUUUUGAAGAAUUUGGAUUUUGGCCAGUGUAACCACCGUGAGUGGCCACUAUGCACGGCGGCAGUGACGGUUGUUUUUGUAGCUUUUAGCUUUUGAAUUAGUAUAUGCAAUUGAUAGAGUGUUUUGAGAUGCUUGAAUUCUGGUUUGAUUGUGAGAUGAAGAAAGUGAGGUUUGGAGCAGAAGGACCAUUGUGUGGUGGCUGCUGUUGUACUUGGCAGCGGUAGUGACAUUUGAGUGUUGUUGUGUUUAACCUCAGCUGCUGUGAAAUGGAGAAAUCGGGGUUUUGGAAUUUGGAGUAAGCUACUGCUGCGGGUUCAUGAUACACAGGGGAGGUAAUGGGUUGUUUUGAUCCAUUCAUGCCUUCAAUUAAUAUCAUGAGCUUGUUUUGAUAGUGAUGGAGGAUUUGGGUAGUCUUUAUAUGUGUUGGUUGCUAAGACUAGGAUAGAAUUGCUACUGCGGUGGAGAUGUGUGAGAAUGAAGGAACUUUGCUAACUUUUGAAUUAUAGUUUGGCUUUGCUAUUAUAAAUGUAAGGUUUAGCAAAGUUGAACGGCUCAUGGAAUAAGGAAUUGUGUAAUGGGUGCACAGUUUUGGGUGUACAAAGUAAUUUCGGAAGUUUGGAUAGAAAUGGGUGAUAUUGGAAUACGACGACGCAUUUGGGUGUCCAGAGUAAAUUGUGAAGUCUGGUGAUUCGUCGACUACUUCAAAAUAAAGAUUUGGUACGAGGGUUGGAGGUAUGUUGCAAUUCCAGAAGCAGAAGGAUAUGGAUUUCAGAAAGCAAGUCGCUGAGUUACUAAUUUUAGUCAGAACUAACGCUUUGGAUUUCAGGUACGUACAAGGAACUUAUUUCGAGAAGUCUAACUGUGAAGUUUAAGAGAUGUGUGCAAGAGUAGAAAAGAGUUAUGGAAGAUUAGAAGUGAGAUAGAUCAUAAGGGCUCAUCAUUUUGUCUUUGUAAUUGUUUUUGUUAUUGUAAACGUUUUAUCUUCUUUUAUUUUUACAAUUUCUGAAAAAGUAUUUGAAAUUGUUUUAUUUUCUUUUACUUUUCCCGCUCACGCCUUGGGUUCGG